UUUCCGUAGGUGAACCUGCGGAAGGAUCAUUCAUAAUAAGUGUUUUAUGGCACUUUUUUAAAUCCAUAUCCACCUUGUGUGCAAUGUCAGGGUUGAUUUUUCUCUUGAGAGGAUCAACCCCAAACAUCAACUAUAUCUCAACUCUUUGUCUGAAAAAUAUUAUGAAUAAAACAAUUCAAAAUACAACUUUCAACAACGGAUCUCUUGGCUCUC
rnacentral:misc_RNA from 1 species